GGGAAUGAGGGGGGCACAGGUGCUCCCCAUAGAGAUUCAUUUGGUCCCACAGUCCAUAUUAGUAGGCUGGUCUCUACACUUGUGUUUGCAGAGCUGUAACUGGAAGUACUGGAGGUCUGAAAUGAAGAAGGUGAAGAGAGGUGGGCUUGGUGUGCUGGCCUUUCUCUGUUAAGGAGAAUUAAAGACAACUGAAUAUGGAAAAGAAUACAAAAGCAGACCUAGUCAGUCACCCCUGGGUGGUUGUCAGCAUCUGGAUGGAUGAAUGCAGAACUUAAGAGCAGCCAUCUUCAUCCAGUCACCUGUGUGCCUGAGUCAGAGAUAUUUUAAUCACCCAUUCCUGAUGGCUGAUGCACUGAUUACAAAUCACAGUGAAAUCUGGGGCCCAACUGCAAGCUCCUUGGGUGUGGUGCAAGAAUAUUUGGAAGAGCUGUUUUGCUGCAUAAACGAAGCAGUUAAGUGGGAAGGGAGGACUUGACUCAGGCUGGAGGCUGUGAAUGCUUUAGGACAUAGCGGGAUGCCACUGUGUAGCAUCUGCUGAGCUACAGCCACUGCAGCUGCUUUAAUGCCUACCCAAGCUCAGUGAAUGGGCUCCAUCAGAACCAAGUGUGUCUCUUUUAUGCCUGCCUCACCCGUGUUUUGGCUGGCAAUGAUGUUUGGACUGAUC
rnacentral:lncRNA from 1 species